GUGUGUUUUUGCAACUAUGAAGUGAAUGGUUUCCUGGGGAAAAUUGUGACUUUGUAUAACUAUUUUUGAAACCAGAAUAAAUUAUAUUUCACUUGCAUAUUCUUAAAUUAUUAAAAUUUUCAGAAGUCAGUGAUACAGAAAUACUAUUUUGCAAUGUUAAUCUGUUUGAGUCUUUGGAGAAAGUGGUUUCAUUGUAGGUACAUGAUGCACUCUUAAUAUUUUAAACAAAUAGUUCACUCUUCCAUUUAAGGGAUAUCAGUUCCUUGUAUAAAAUGACUGGAUAUGUAUAAAGCAAUUAUGUUGUCAUGUGCCUUUAACCAGCUUUAGUAAUUACUAUAAUCUCAUAUUUAUGAUAGUUUUGUUAGGUGACAGGACCAAAUGAAAAUAUUUUAUGUUUUCCCAUCACUUUAGAUUUUAUCAUUGUGUAAAUUACUGGGUUUUUAGCAUUUCCUAAUGUGAAGUUUUAAUCAUUUUUAAGUAUACAUAUUUUUUUUCUGUACCAUUUAAAUAAAAUAUUUUUAUAACUUU
ensembl:lncRNA novel transcript